AUUGAACGCUGGCGGCAGGCUUAACACAUGCAAGUCGAGCGGGGUGAUGGUGCUUGCACUAUCACUUAGCGGCGGACGGGUGAGUAAUGCUUAGGAAUCUGCCUAUUAGUGGGGGACAACAUCUCGACAGGGAUGCUAAUACCGCAUACGUCCUACGGGAGAAAGCAGGGGAUCACUUGUGACCUUGCGCUAAUAGAUGAGCCUAAGUCGGAUUAGCUAGUUGGUGGGGGAAAGGCCUACCAAGGCGACGAUCUGUAGCGGGUCUGAGAGGAUGAUCCGCCACACGGGGACUGAGACACGGCCCAGACUCCUACGGGAGGCAGCAGUGGGGAAUAUUGGACAAUGGGGGGAACCCUGAUCCAGCCAUGCCGCGUGUGUGAAGAAGGCCUUAUGGUUGUAAAGCACUUUAAGCGAGGAGGAGGCUCUUUUGGUUAAUACCCAAGAUGAGUGGACGUUACUCGCAGAAUAAGCACCGGCUAACUCUGUGCCAGCAGCCGCCGUAA
rnacentral:rRNA from 1 species